GAUAAAUUGAAGGUCUUGGUAUCCUCCCUUGCAAGGCUGUAAUGAUACGGAAUCACCCUGUCCUUUGGGUCUUGUUGAUUGACUUCGAGCUAAUGGAGGUGACUUCGAGCUAAUGGAGCUUAAGUUCUGACAUAUAUUGCCAAACUUUAAUGUGUUGGUGGGAUAGUAUUAUCUUGGACAUCUUGAUCUGCAAUUGGUUUGGUACACACGAUCUGAUACUUUGAAUGGGUUGGACUGAGCCGACAACCCAGCAUCAUGGGUAAGG